AAAUAUGAGUCCCUUGUUAGUCAAUCUCACCUGCUUCAUGUUACAUAAGAGAGGAAAUCCUUAGCCUUCUGCAGUUUCACUCAGCAAGCACUUUGAAAAAUAAUUAGUAUGACAUAGUGGAGCACACUGUGGCUUCGUCUUCUGUCAUAGGCUGGGCUACAUGGCAAAAAUCAACAGAGAGGCAGGCACCAAUUUUAGGAGGGAGGGUGACUUCAUCAGUUUCAUGCACCUUCAGCAUGGGCAGCAUUGGGUACAAGAAUGGGUCAGGCAGUGAGAUCACUGUGAUAUCACAAGGCACUGAACAUGAAGCACAGCUUUUGCAAGUUAACACUUUUACACAGGACUGAAGUUGAGAAAUGCUAUGUUUAUUGAAUGCAAACAUGGAAAUGAAAAAAGCUUGAACAUGCACGCACUCUGUGAAGGAGAAGACAUAAGGCAAGCAGAAGAAGGAAUGCAUGGCACAGCCACAAUCUAUCUGAUAAUGAGGAUUUUAAGGACUGCCUUCUCCCACAACAACCUGCUUGAAUGCUAAACUUUUUCAUUGGAGUCCUUGCCAGAGUGACACCAUCAUCACAGUGCAACCACAUGGUAACAAAGACAGGAUUUUCUAAUCCAUGGCAUUUUGGAGCUCCUUCCCUAAAGAAGCCUUAAGGCUAGCAGGAUAAUUAAUAUUAAUAAUAACCAAAAUUCUCUUGUUUAGUUUAGUAAAUUUAGUCACAUUGAAUCAAUAGUAAUUUGUUGAGUCAUAUCCUC
rnacentral:lncRNA from 1 species